rnacentral:rRNA from 1 species
CGCUGGCGGCACGCCUUAUACAUGCAAGUCGAACGAAGUAGUAAUACUUAGUGGCAGACGGGUGAGUAACAUGUAGGUAUCUUCCCUUUGGUGAGGAAUAACACGAGGAAACUUGUGCUAAUACCUCAUAAGUCUUUACGGAGAAAGCUUUAUGCGCCGAAGGAUGAGCCUGCACUUGAUUAGUUUGUUGGUGGGGUAAAGGCCUACCAAGACUGUGAUCUAUAGCUGAUCUGAGAGGAUGAUCAGCCACAUUGGGACUGAGACACGGCCCAAACUCCUACGGGAGGCAGCAGUAGGGAAUAUUGCACAAUGGAGGAAACUCUGAUGCAGCGAUGCCGCGUGAGUGAAGAAGGCCUUUGGGUUGUAAAGCUCUUUCGUCGGGGAAGAAAAUGACUGUACCCGAAUAAGAAGGUCCGGCUAACUUCGUGCCAGCAGCCGCGGUAAUACGAAGGGACCUAGCGUAGUUCGGAAUUACUGGGCUUAAAGAGUUCGUAGGUGGUUAAAAAAGUUGGUGGUGAAAUCCCAGAGCUUAACUCUGGAACUGCCAUCAAAACUUUUUAGCUAGAGUAUGAUAGAGGAAAGUAGAAUUUCUAGUGUAGAGGUGAAAUUCGUAGAUAUUAGAAAGAAUACCAAUUGCGAAGGCAGCUUUCUGGAUCAUUACUGACGCUGAGGAACGAAAGCAUGGGUAGCGAAGAGGAUUAGAUACCCUCGUAGUCCAUGCCGUAAACGAUGUGUGUUAGACGUUGGAAAUUUAUUUUCAGUGUCGCAGCGAAAGCAUUAAACACACCGCCUGGGG